rnacentral:lncRNA from 10 species
AGAUGCGACUGAUUCCCGGAUGAUAGGGUCUUGCUGUGCUGCCCAGCCUGGAGUGUGGUGGUGCGAUCAUGGCUCACUGAAGCCUCCACUUACAACUCCUGGACUCAAGUGAUCCUCCCACCUGAGCCUCCUGAGUAGCUAGGACUAUAGGCACUUGGCACCACACCUGGCAAAUUUUUUUUAUCAUAGGAUCUCGCUACAUUGGCCAGGCUGGUCUCAAACUUCUGGCCCCAAGUGAUUUUCCCACCUCUGCCUCCCAAAGUGCUGAGACUACAGUCUGGCCCUUCAUGAUCUCUAGAUAUUACCAAAAGUCCCAGAGAAAUGAGUGCAUGGAUGGCUUAAUGACAACCCACUUUCUUCUCUGGAAGAAAGAACUUAGUACAGCCCUACCAGAAGGUGGGAUGGCAAUGCCAUCUUCAGACUUGAGUGUUGGGGAGGCCUUUUCUGCUAACCAACAGCAAAUGUUUUACAAGAGAAACAGGACACACAGUAGAUGAAGGCAGCCAUGGAAAAUCUGUAUGAAUUAUCCACUCUGUUGAUCUGUGCUUAAAA